rnacentral:rRNA from 1 species
UGGGGAAUUUUGGACAAUGGGCGAAAGCCUGAUCCAGCAAUGCCGCGUGUGUGAAGAAGGCCUUCGGGUUGUAAAGCACUUUUGUCCGGAAAGAAAUCCUUGGCUCUAAUACAGUCGGGGGAUGACGGUACCGGAAGAAUAAGCACCGGCUAACUACGUGCCAGCAGCCGCGGUAAUACGUAGGGUGCAAGCGUUAAUCGGAAUUACUGGGCGUAAAGCGUGCGCAGGCGGUUUGCUAAGACCGAUGUGAAAUCCCCGGGCUCAACCUGGGAACUGCAUUGGUGACUGGCAGGCUAGAGUAUGGCAGAGGGGGGUAGAAUUCCACGUGUAGCAGUGAAAUGCGUAGAGAUGUGGAGGAAUACCGAUGGCGAAGGCAGCCCCCUGGGCCAAUACUGACGCUCAUGCACGAAAGCGUGGGGAGCAAACAGGAUUAGAUACCCUGGUAGUCCACGCCCUAAACGAUGUCAACUAGUUGUUGGGGAUUCAUUUCCUUAGUAACGUAGCUAACGCGUGAAGUUGACCGCCUGGGGAGUACGGUCGCAAGAUUAAAACUCAAAGGAAUUGACGGGGUCAUAGCU